AAUACAACUUCCUCAGCUCCUGGUGAGCACUUGCGGGUGCAGUAGAGAUAUUACGAGUGGAGGAACCGAGCAAGCAGCAGCAGUUCAAGUCAACGCAGCCCCCAUGCUAUUUGUUCCAUUCUCUGUCCCUAAUAUUGCUGCUCCUAUGACCGGUUCUUUGCAGAACUCCUGUAGUCCAUCCAAGGAUGUAAAAAGUGGAUGGACAGGAACUACUGGACCUUCAUUGCUUGCUGUGCAACCAAUUGUUCAAACUCAACCCAAUAACCCAAUCCAUCUGAGUUCUGCCCAGCCUAAGCAAGAUACAUCGAAACAUCACCACAUUUUUGUCGGAGAUCUGAGCCCCGAAAUAGAGACCCAAACUCUACGAGAAGCAUUCGCAGCGUUUGGCGAAAUAUCGGAUUGCAGAGUCGUAAGAGACCCCCAAACGCUAAAAUCGAAAGGAUAUGGCUUCGUAUCGUUCAUCAAAAAGGCGGAAGCUGAAAGUGCUAUAGCUGGAAUGAACGGACAAUGGCUGGGCAGUCGAAGUAUUCGUACAAACUGGGCCACUCGGAAACCACCAGCCCCUAAAAAUGAUGCUAAUACAAAACCUCUGACAUUUGACGAGGUGUACAAUCAGAGCAGUCCCACCAACUGUACAGUGUACUGCGGUGGUAUCACCAACGGUUUAACUGAAGAACUAAUGCAGAAAACAUUUGCACCGUUUGGAACGAUUCAAGAAAUUCGGGUAUUUAAGGAAAAGGGAUACGCGUUUGUCAGAUUUGCCACAAAAGAAUCUGCAACCCAUGCAAUCGUAGCUGUCCACAACACUGAUAUCAACGGUCAAAUAGUUAAAUGCUCAUGGGGAAAGGAAUCGGGUGACCCAAACAACGCACCCAUUGCGAGCCAGGCGUUAUCUAGCACUCAGUAUCCUUAUAGUGCUUAUGGGCAGCAACUCGGUUACUGGUAUCCGCAAAGUUAUCCCACAACUGCUGCUGCUGCAGCCCAGAUGCAAGGACAGUUUCUCCAAGGAAUACAAGGUUACGGUUAUGGACAGUACGCGGGGUAUCAGCAGUCGUACAUGGGUUGUUCUUGUUGCAGACUUGGCAUGCAAGUACCGGCUACCUGGCAGGGAAUCCCCGGCCAGCCGCAAUUACCAACAACACCGCAACAAAUAGCAGCUACGCCUGGAGCCACGAUUCAGCAACCGGGGAUCGUAUUUCCCAUACAACAAUUUCAGGCUCAAUGAAAUACGUUACGCAAUUACAACCAACUCGACCUAGUGAUAUUUUAGUAGAUAACACUAAGGGCUGAGACAGGUUACACAUCUCAUUCAAUUUCCUUGGUGUACCUAUUAACGGAAAAUUUUAUCAUCGUGUUUUUAUUGUACGUGUAUUUUUGAAGUUCGAUGUUUUUCUCGAUGUUCAAUAAUUAAUUAUUGCAGAUUGUAUAGAGAAUCAGCAGAUUUAAUUGCGAAUUGCAUACAUAUUAUGUCUUUAUGACAUAAGUCACUAACGAAUGUAAUAUUUCUUGUAUAUAUAUAAAAAAAAAUGGCGUUCGUGCAUAUUUUGUGAUUUUUGGUACGGUAAAGUUAUAAAGAUGCAACAGUGAGAAAUGAAAUUUAUAGACAGCAUCCAAUAGAACUGCUGAUCAAAAGUUUCCGAAGAUAUUACCUAUUUUAUUUUUUUUAAACAAAAAUCUGCUGUAGUUACCCUUUUAAUUCAAGCGAAAUUAUUAAGAAACACAACAAUCUCUUUCUUGACUUUGGUUCUUGGAAAAUAUUUUAUUGCUUUCUCUAAAUUUGUACUUCCUAUCGUAAGAUUUCGAAUAAUAAAGUAUUAGAAGCAUUUUUCCGGAUAAAUUACAAAAACUUGAUACAAGAAUAAUUACUUUACAUGAUUAUUCAAAAAGAAAACGGUCAUGUACUUACCAAAAAAUGGUUAACGAAGUUUUAGUUAAGCGUUUUAAUUUUUUUUUUGUUUUUCGAACGAUUACAUUUUUAGUUUUAGUUUCGGAGCGACUCGGUAUGUUUUAAUAAAAGAUACAAACGAAGUAGGUAAACGAUGCGUAUUUAGGUAACUAAGUAGAUAGGUAGGUAGAUAGAUUUAUGAUAUACACCACAGUCCAAUUUUUUUUUUUUAAUGUCAAUACUUGAUUAAAUACAUGAAGUAUAUAUGUAGCAAAGAAAAGCUGGAAUCUUUUAACCAAAAUAUUCGUUAUACUCGAGAACAAUAUUCUUAUCUUCCCUACAGUCAACUUAAAAAAUUGUUAUACAUUUACAAGUUGUGUGUUGUGGCAAUCCUAACUCGACGUGUACGGCGUAUGCUCAACCAUUAACUAGCGCGUGGAACGCUGAUCCACGCUCCAUGUAAUGUGGUCGGCGUAGCUUAAGCGUGGCGAAACCUCUUGGCACUCUCUUUCCCGAGCACUGUUGAUAAAUGUCAAAGAAACGCACCUAUGGUCAAAUAACUUACUCAGUUUGCAUAAACAUACAAUAGAUACCGUAAAAUUAUGUAAUGCAUAUACAAAGAUUAAAUAAUAUAUAAAAAAACUUUUUUUACAUUAUAUGUUAUAUGUAUUUAUAACGUUUACCGCCGGUGCUCGCGAAAGAACGCAUCAAGACGUCCUUUCCCGCUCGAUGUCGCGCCGAACCCAUUACACGGAGCGUGGAUCGACAUUCCACGCGCUGUGGAAAGGAGUCACAACACAUGCCUUCUCGCUCCAGAUCGUGACGAACCCGUUACACCGCGGUGGAUCGGCAUUUCACGCACGCGCUGCCGACGUACCGUAGAAAGGAGUCAUAGAACGUGCUAGGACAGGACAUCCCGGUCUAGAUUGCCGACGAACCCGUUAUUUGGCAUAAAUCGGUAUUCCACGCGCGCGCCACCUGCGCUUCGACGAAAGGAAUUACAGAAAGUGCUAGGACGGUCCCUCUCGCUCCUUACACAGGGCGGGGAUCGCUACUCCACGCGCCCAAUGUCAACGCGCCGUGGAAAAGAGUCACAGAACGUGUUAGGACGGGGCGUCCCGGUCUAGAUCGCGACAACCCCGUUACGCGGCAUGGAUCGGCAUUCCACGCGCCGUGAAGAAGAGUCACAAAACAUGCUAGGACGGGCCUUCCCCUUUCCAAAUCGCGACUAACACGUUACACCGAGCGUGGAUCGGCAAUCCACGCGCUGUGUAAUAGGGACUUAAAGUGACCCUCAUUGAUAAAUGUAAGUAAUGUUCGAAUGAAUCUAUUCAGUAUUUAGCUUCCGUUUAGAUCUAAAUAAAUAUAAAACAAGUUCGUCUUUAAGGAGAAACAACGUCAAUCGCUGUCGAGUAAAGUGAAUAUUUUAUUGAGCUUAUCCAGUUUAAUAUUUAUUUACAAAAAUUAUGAUCGUGGUAAAUAAAAAGUGUUGGCAUUUAAAAAAAAAAGCUGUGGUUUCGAAAGCUGCGUUUUUGUAUGAUAAAAAGCACAGGAGUUUUGAUACAAGACUAAGUAUACUGCAGUAUAUAUAAAGAUAAGUGUACCUAUAUAGGCUAUCGGGCAUAAUAAAUUCAUACACAAAUUAAUAUAUUAGCCCGUGUAUGCGAAUAUUAUGUUGUAAUUAUUAGUUAUAAUUUACCCAAGUGGGUGUUAUUAUUUAAUGUAUAAAAUAUAAAUACCUAAGCCAUAAUAAUAAUUAAUAAUGAUGGUGAUGUUGAACAAAGAUAUUAUUAAAAACAAAAAAUAUGUUCUGCUAUGCAAUAUAAUGCAAGCAAAAUGCACUCAUCCGUGUUGAAGCACAUACAGAAAAUGUGUAAUUACACCGUGUUAAGUGUUUAAAUUGUAAGGGUUUAAACAGAUACAUAUAUAUACACUUACAUUUGCCCUCAUGUGGUUGUACAAAUAUACAUAACGUUUAUAAAUUUAAGUCCUAAAUUAAAUUUAACAGUACGUCGUAAAAAUGCGUCUUAUUUUUCUUUUUUUUUUUUACUUAUGUAUAUCUAAAACGAUGUCAUUUUCAAAAUUAAUUAUUAUUACACUAAAAAGGUACUAAAGCGUUUGACACUCUGAUAACGAAGUUACAACAGUCCAAAACACCCAAUAUCGAAUAGUAUCUGUAUGUAAUCGAUAGUGAUUGUAUGAAUGAGAAUGAUUUUCUGAUUGCUCUUCACAAUAAUUUAUUUUCAUGUGGAUUUAGUUCGAAUUUUCACUCAAUUUAUCAUUAGUUCUAGUUCUGGUUUUUCUCAACCUGUACUACAACUACCUUAUUAACAUAUAUUAUGGAAUAUUUCCCAAUCGUUCAAUUAAUUAUAUUUUGCUAUGAGUUCGCCACCGUCCCUUAAAUUCGUACUCUAUUAGCUUUCGACAGUUUCCAUAGCUGUACUGGCAAUAUUAUGCAGAUUUACGGAAAAGAAACGUUUUAAAUUUUUAGUUGAGAAUAAAGUUGAACUCUUUUAUAUACUUAUAACAAGUCAUAUCAAAAGCAGUCGUUUCGUGGUUCGUUUGAAGUGACACAUUGUCAGUUGGAUGUAUUUAAAUAUGUAAAAUGCUGUUGUUCAGAUGGGUUGUGUACAUUACAUUCGUUUGUUUUCGUGUAUAUUAAUAAAUAUAUACAACAUAUAAACGUAUAUAAAAAUACGAGAUUCUUUGUUACCGUUUACCGUGAUAGUCAAUUAAAUGUUUAAAGAAUAUCCGCAGGCCGAUGAGUUUGUCCUGAAUUUUCGUGUUUAUAUGCUUUGACUAUGACUUCAUACCGUUGCCUUUUGUUUAUUCCACUGAAGAGAAUUUUCAUAAAUACUACGGAUUCUGGUAUCGUUUAUCAUAUUAAUGUCUAAUAAUUGAAGAGUACAAAAUUCCCUGAUUUGAGCUCGUAAUUACUAUAAUUAAUGUCUUCUAUAAUGUCGACAAGCUUUUGUGACACAUUUUUAUUUUUGGUGAAAUAAUAAAUACACGCGCCAAUUCAGAAUUUGAGAAAAAGGACUUUUUUACAUUUUGCGAAAUAUCUCCUCUCUCCAGUUCUUUUUUUUUGUCAUAUACGUCUUUAUUGAUUCUUGUUCCCUCUGUAAUUAAUUGUCUGCAAAACGGCCUGGUUUGAAGUCGGUAAAUGUUUUUGUUAAUAACAAAUUGUGUUCAAAGUUAGAAAAAUGUUUUUUUUGUGCCUUUAAAUAUUUUGGGUACAAAGUUCGUACCCAGAAGCCUUAAAUUUUCAGAGAUCGUUGCUUAUAAUAAUAUUAAAAAGUAGUCCAAAUUUCAACAAAUUUGAGUAAUAUUUUUCGAUUUUUAUAAUCUUAAUUGU